CAGGCUGGCCGGGUGACCGCAGCACGGUACUCCGUGUUGAGGAAAGUCCGCACUCCAAAGAGCACGAUGUCGGGUAACACCCGGGAUAGGGUAAACUAUCGGAUCGGGCCACAGAAACAAGUAGCCGUCGUUUCCCUUCCGGGAACCGAUUGGUCACAGUGAAAAGGUGGUGUAAGAGACCACCGGCGCAGGUGGUAACAUCUGCGGCCAGGCAACCCCCAUCGGGAGCAAGGCCAAGCAGGAACAAGGUGCUGCUCGUACCGCUUGAGUUCCGGGUAGGCUGCAAGAGGCGUACCGCGAGGUGCGUCCCAGAGAGAUGGGCACCGGCGGGGGGAAACCCCGUGCACAGAAUGCGGCUUAUAGGCUAGCCUGAGAC
rnacentral:RNase_P_RNA from 1 species